rnacentral:rRNA from 1 species
UACGUAGGGUGCAAGCGUUGUCCGGAAUUAUUGGGCGUAAAGAGCUCGUAGGCGGUUUGUCGCGUCGAAUGUGAAAACCCGGGGCUCAACCCCGGGCCUGCAUUCGAUACGGGCAGACUAGAGUUCGGUAGGGGAGUCUGGAAUUCCUGGUGUAGCGGUGAAAUGCGCAGAUAUCAGGAAGAACACCCGUGGCUAAGGCGGCUCUCUAGUACGGUACUGACGCUGAGACGCGAAAGCGUGGGAGCGAACAGG